ACACACACCUGUGAGGGAAUGACAGCGUGUGGAGCGACCAUGCUGUUGGAUUGAAUUCACCUGUCCAGAGAGGCCUUCUGGCCUGCCCUCCCAGGACAGUGAGUUCCAGAGGGAGAGCAAAUGCAGCGUGGAAAAGGAACGCUAACGGGCAUCGCCAGCAUUUCGUGAGUGGUUACUGCAGCUGGCCUGGAGCUCCUCGGUUUGCACAUGUUAGUCAUCUCAGUGAAUCCCUGUCACACCUCAGGAGAGAGCCACCAUUGGUUAUCUCCACUCUAUCUGUGAAGAAGGAGUCUGCCCGAGAUCACCCCCACCACCAGUGCGCCGGGGCAUCUGUCUGCGGCACAGCACAGCAUCCCUCUCCUGCCCUCCAGAUGUCCUUGACUCCCACCUUCAAAAGCAAGUUGACAUCCUCAUUCAAGAGCAAGGGCCAGCUUGGGUCCAUAUUCCUUCUGGAAACUUCCACAGAUGACCCAGCUUGCAUGGCCGCACUUCUCUGAAUGUCAUACACCUGUCUACUCCAGAGGAGGCAACUCUAAUGGGACCUAUGACAUCCAUCAUCAUGGACAGUUGUUAACCACUGAAUUAUUAUUUAACUCCUUGUCUCUGUGACGCUUUUUUCUCCACCCAGGCUGUUUCUUGGGGAGACUGUGUAUUAUGAGUCUUUGUUUUCCUGUAGCCCCCAGCACAUGUCUCUCUCCAUAUGUGAGACAAUCAAUGUUACUUGAAUAAAUGAAUAAGAGAAUGAAUGAUGAACAGCUGGUUCUUCCAGAAAAUAUGACAUAUAAACCUUGGGAAAAUGCCCUGAAAGGUUAACUGUAUAGGCUCAAGAGUUGCAUACUUCUGGGCUCAAUUUCAGCUCUGCCACUUGCCAGCCGUGUGCCCUGGGCAACAUCAGUCACCUCAUGUGUAAAACAUGGAUACUAAUAUAAUACCCAGCUCAGACGAUUGUCGUAUGACAUGAAAUAAUAUAUGUAAAUCCUUUAACCCAGUUCCUCGCCUACAGGCACAUUCACAUACAUGGUGGCUGUCAUUGUCACCAAAUGUCUGAAUCACGCUUUAUUAUUUCUCAAGAGCUCCUGGACACGAUCUCAUGCUGUCACUGACAGAUGUUUACUGAACGCUAGAAUGUGCAGGCACCAAGCACAGCACAGGUGCACAGGGUGGACA
rnacentral:lncRNA from 1 species